rnacentral:rRNA from 1 species
CCUACGGGUGGCUGCAGUGAGGAAUAUUGGUCAAUGGACGGAAGCCUGAACCAGCCACGCCGCGUGCAGGAAGACGGCCCUAUGAGUUGUAAACUGCUUUUGUACAAGGGUAAAUUUGAAUACGUGUAUUCAUCUGCAAGUACUGUAUGAAUAAGGAUCGGCUAACUCCGUGCCAGCAGCCGCGGUAAUACGGAGGGUCCAAGCGUUAUCCGGAUUUAUUGGGUUUAAAGGGGGCGUAGGCGGAUUGAGAAGUUAGAGGUGAAAUGUCGGGGCUUAACACGGGAACUGCCUUUAAUACUGUUGGUCUGGAGUGUAGGUGAGGUAGGCGGAAGGUAUGGUGUAGCGGUGAAAUGCGUAGAGAU